rnacentral:rRNA from 1 species
UGCGUCCUACGGGGCGCAGCAGUGAGGAAUAUUGGUCAAUGGCCGGAAGGCUGAACCAGCCAAGUCGCGUGAGGGAAUAAGGCCCUAUGGGUCGUGAACCUCUUUUGUCAGGGAGCAAAGGCGUCCACGAGUGGACGAAAGGAGAGUACCUGAAGAAAAAGCAUCGGCUAACUCCGUGCCAGCAGCCGCGGUAAUACGGAGGAUGCGAGCGUUAUCCGGAUUUAUUGGGUUUAAAGGGUGCGUAGGCGGAAUGUCAAGUCAGCGGUAAAAUUUCGGGGCUCAACCCCGUCGUGCCGUUGAAACUG